UACGAAGGGGGCUAGCGUUGCUCGGAAUUACUGGGCGUAAAGGGCGCGUAGGCGGCACUGUUAGUCAGGCGUGAAAGUCCUGGGCUCAACCUGGGAACUGCGCUUGAUACGGCAGAGCUAGAGGAUGGAAGAGGCUCGCGGAAUUCCCAGUGUAGAGGUGAAAUUCGUAGAUAUUGGGAAGAACACCCGUGGCGAAGGCGGCUCUCUGGGACGGUACUGACGCUGAGACGCGAAAGCGUGGGGAGCGAACAGG
rnacentral:rRNA from 1 species